rnacentral:rRNA from 1 species
GAUGAACGCUGGCGGCGUGCUUAACACAUGCAAGUCGAACGGAAAGGCUCCUGCUUGCAGGGGUACUCGAGUGGCGAACGGGUGAGUAACACGUGGGUGAUCCGCCCUGCACUUCGGGAUAAGCCUGGGAAACUGGGACUAAUACCGGAUAGGACCACAUUAUGGAUGGUGUGGUGGAAAGUUCUUCGGUGUGGGAUGAGCUUGCGGCGUAUCAGCUGGUUGGUGGGGUAAUGGCCUACCAAGGCGUCGACGGGUAGCCGGCCUGAUCGGGGGAUCGGCCACCUUGGAGCUUGUACGCCCUCCAUAGGCCUGGGAGACGCCCCAGUCUCCAACGGUAGGCAGCGGUCGGAAGUAUUACACAGUGAGCCCGAGCGUGAUGCGGCGACGCUGCGUUGGUAAUGACGUCCUUCGGGUUGUAAACUCCUUUCGCUAGGGACGAAGCGCUAGUGACGGUACCUGGAGAAGAAGCACCGGCUAACUACGUG